rnacentral:rRNA from 1 species
UACGGGGGGGGCAAGCGUUGUUCGGAAUCACUGGGCGUAAAGCGCACGUAGGCGGAUCAUUAAGUCGGAGGUGAAAUCCUGGAGCUCAACUCCAGAACUGCCUUCGAUACUGAGAGUCUCGAGUCCGGGAGAGGUGAGUGGAACUGCGAGUGUAGAGGUGAAAUUCGUAGAUAUUCGCAAGAACACCAGUGGCGAAGGCGGCUCACUGGCCCGGUACUGACGCUGAGGAGCGAAAGCGUGGGGAGCGAACAGG